UACAGAGGGUGCAAGCGUUAAUCGGAAUUACUGGGCGUAAAGCGUGCGUAGACGGUAGCGUAAGUCGGGUGUGAAAGCCCCGGGCUCAACCUGGGAAUGGCAAUGGAUACUGGCAGGCUAGAGUGCGGUAGAGGGUAGUGGAAUUCCCGGUAUAGCGGUGAAAUGCGUAGAGAUCGGGAGGAACACCAGUGGCGAAGGCGGCUACCUGGACCAGCACUGACACUGAGGCACGAAAGCGUGGGGAGCAAACAGG
rnacentral:rRNA from 1 species